UACGUAGGGGGCAAGCGUUGUCCGGAAUCAUUGGGCGUAAAGCGCACGUAGGUGGCGACGUAAGUCGGGUGUGAAAUCCCCUGGGCUACCACCUGGGACGGCAUUCGAGACUGUGUUGCUGGAGGUACGGGAAGAGGAGGGGCGGGAAUUCCCGGUGUAGCGGUGAAAUGCGUAGAUAUCGGGAGGAACAUCAGUGGCGAAGGCGGCCCUCGUGGUCCAGUACUGACACUCAAGUGCGAAAGCG
rnacentral:rRNA from 1 species